rnacentral:rRNA from 1 species
UUUAUCUUAGUGGCGCACGGGUGAGUAAUGUAUAGCUAAUCUGCCCUAUGCAGGAGGACAACAGUUAGAAAUGACUGCUAAUACUCCAUACUCCUUCUUAACAUAAGUUAAGUCGGGAAAGUUUUUCGGCAUAGGAUGAGGCUAUAUUGUAUCAGCUAGUUGGUGAGGUAAUGGCUCACCAAGGCUAUGACGCAUAACUGGUCUGAGAGGAUGAUCAGUCACACUGGAACUGAGACACGGUCCAGACUCCUACGGGAGGCAGCAGUAGGGAAUAUUGCUCAAUGGGGGAAACCCUGAAGCAGCAACGCCGCGUGGAGGAUGACACUUUUCGGAGCGUAAACUCCUUUUGUUAGGGAAGAACCAUGACGGUACCUAACGAAUAAGCACCGGCUAACUCCGUGCCAGCAGCCGCGGUAAUACGGGGGGUGCAAGCGUUACUCGGAAUCACUGGGCGUAAAGGACGCGUAGGCGGAUUAUCAAGUCUCUUGUGAAAUCCUAUGGCUUAACCAUAGAACUGCUUGGGAAACUGAUAAUCUAGAGUGAGGGAGAGGCAGAUGGAAUUGGUGGUGUAGGGGUAAAAUCCGUAAAGAUCACCAGGAAUACCCAUUGCGAAGGCGAUCUGCUGGAACUCAACUGACGCUAAGGCGUGAAAGCGUGGGGAGCAAACAGGAUUAGAUACCCUGGUAGUCCACGCCCUAAACGAUGUAUACUAGUUGUUG